UCUGGUUGAUCCUGCCAGUAGUUAUAUGCUUGUCUCAAAGAUUAAGCCAUGCAUGUCUAAGUACACACGAAUUAAAAGUGAAACCGCAAAAGGCUCAUUAUAUCAGUUAUGGUUCCUUAGAUCGUUAACAGUUACUUGGAUAACUGUGGUAAUUCUAGAGCUAAUACAUGCAAUUAAAACAUGAACCUUAUGGGACAUGUGCUUUUAUUAGGCUAAAACCAAGCGAUCGCAAGAUCAUGCAGAUCGUAUGGUCUUGUACAGAUCUUUCAAAUGUCUGCCCUAUCAACUUUUGAUGGUACUAGGGGAAUCAAUUCGAUUCCGGAGAGGGAGCCUGAGAAACGGCUACCACAUCUAAGGAAGGCAGCAGGCGCGUAAAUUACCCACUCCCAGCUCGGGGAGGUAGUGACGAAAAAUACAAUACAGGACUCAUAUCCGAGGCCCUGUAAUUGGAAUGAGUACACUUAAAUCCUUUAACAAGGACCAAUUGGAGGCAAGUCUGGUGCCAGCAGCCGCUAAUUCCAGCUCCAAAGCGUAUAUUAAAGUUGUUGCGGUUAAAACGUUCGUAGUUGAACUUGUGCUUCAUACGGGUAGUACAACUUACAAUUGUGGUUAGUACUAUACCUUUAUGUAUGUAAGCGUAUACCGGUGGAGUUCUUAUAUAUGUUUAAAUACUUGUAUUUUUCAUAUGUUCCUCCUAUUUAAAAACCUGCAUUAGUGCUCUAAACGAGUGUUAUUGUGGGCCGGUACAAUUACUUUGAACAAAUAGAGUGCUUAAAGCAGGCUUCAAAUGCCUGAAUAUUCGUGCAUGGAUAAUGAAAUAAGACUCUGUUCUGCUUUCAUUGGUUUCAGAUCAAGAGGUAAUGAUUAAUAGAAGCAGUUUGGGGGCAUAGUAUUACGACGCGAGAGGUGAAAUUCUUGGACCGUCGUAAGACUAACUUAAGCGAAAGCAUUUGCCAAAGAUGUUUUCAUUAAUCAAGAACGAAAGUUAGAGGUUCGAAGGCGAUCAGAUACCGCCCUAGUUCUAACCAUAAACGAUGCCAGCUAGCAAUUGGGUGUAGCUACUUUAUGGCUCUCUCAGUCGCUUCCCGGGAAACCAAGCUUUUGGGCUCCGGGGGAAGUAUGGUUGCAAAGCUGAAACUUAAAGGAAUUGACGGAAGGCACCACCAGGAGUGGAGCCUGCGGCUAAUUUGACUCCACGGGAAAACUUACCAGGUCCGAACAUAAGUGUGUAAGACAGAUUGAUAGCUCUUUCUCGAACUAUGGGUGGGUGCAUGGCCGUUCUUAGUUCGUGGAGUGAUUUGUCUGGUUAAUUCCGAUAACGAACGAGACUCAAAUAUAUUAAAUAGAUAUCUUCAGGAUUAUGGUGCUGAAGCUUUAUAGCCUCAUUCAUAGUUGCAGUAAAAUGUAUUGUGUUUGAAUGUUUUAUAAGUGGAGCCGUACCUGUUGGUUGUCCCAUUAUAGGACACUAGCUUCUUAAAUGGACAUUGCGUCUAGCAUAAUAGAUUGAGCAUAACAGGUCUGUGAUGCCUUAGAUGUCCUGGGCUGCACGCGCGCUACAAUGAAAGUAUCACGUGUAUUUCCUAGACCGAGAGGUCGGGUAACCGCUGAACCACUUCAUGUUGGAUUGUGAACUGAAACUGUUCACAUGAACUUGGAAUUCCAGUAAGUGUGAGUCAUUAAUCGCAUUGAUUACGUCCUGCCCUUUGUACACACCGCCGUCGCUACUACCGAUUGAAUUAUUUAGUGAGUUCCGGACGUGAUCACUGUGACCCUCGCGUGUUACGGUUGUUUCGCAAAGUUGACCGAACUUGAUAUUUGAGGAAGUAAAAGUCGUAACAAGGUUUCCGUAGGUGAACUGCGGAAG
rnacentral:rRNA from 1 species